GCUAAUACCGCAUGAUGCCUACGGGCCAAAGAGGGGGACCUUCGGGCCUCUCGCGUCAAGAUAUGCCUAGGUGGGAUUAGCUAGUUGGUGAGGUAAUGGCUCACCAAGGCGACGAUCCCUAGCUGGUCUGAGAGGAUGAUCAGCCACACUGGAACUGAGACACGGUCCAGACUCCUACGGGAGGCAGCAGUGGGGAAUAUUGCACAAUGGGCGCAAGCCUGAUGCAGCCAUGCCGCGUGUAUGAAGAAGGCCUUCGGGUUGUAAAGUACUUUCAGCAGUGAGGAAGGGGGUGUCGUUAAUAGCGGCAUCUCUUGACGUUAGCUGCAGAAGAAGCACCGGCUAACUCCGUGCCAGCAGCCGCGGUAAUACGGAGGGUGCGAGCGUUAAUCGGAAUUACUGGGCGUAAAGCGCAUGCAGGUGGUUUGUUAAGUCAGAUGUGAAAGCCUGGGGCUCAACCUCGGAACUGCAUUUGAAACUGGCAAACUAGAGUACUGUAGAGGGGGGUAGAAUUUCAGGUGUAGCGGUGAAAUGCGUAGAGAUCUGAAGGAAUACCAGUGGCGAAGGCGGCCCCCUGGA
rnacentral:rRNA from 1 species